GAGUUUGAUCCUGGCUCAGAUUGAACGCUGGCGGCAGGCCUAACACAUGCAAGUCGAGCGGUAGAGGGGUGCUUGCACUCCUUGAGAGCGGCGGACGGGUGAGUAAUGCCUAGGAAUCUGCCUAGUAGUGGGGGAUAACGUUCGGAAACGGACGCUAAUACCGCAUACGUCCUACGGGAGAAAGUGGGGGAUCUUCGGACCUCACGCUAUUAGAUGAGCCUAGGUCGGAUUAGCUAGUUGGUGAGGUAAUGGCUCACCAAGGCGACGAUCCGUAACUGGUCUGAGAGGAUGAUCAGUCACACUGGAACUGAGACACGGUCCAGACUCCUACGGGAGGCAGCAGUGGGGAAUAUUGGACAAUGGGCGCAAGCCUGAUCCAGCCAUGCCGCGUGUGUGAAGAAGGUCUUCAGAUUGUAAAGCACUUUAAGUUGGGAGGAAGGUCAGUAGCUUAAUACGUUGCUGAUUUGACGUUACCGACAGAAUAAGCACCGGCUAACUCUGUGCCAGCAGCCGCGGUAAUACAGAGGGUGCAAGCGUUAAUCGGAAUUACUGGGCGUAAAGCGCGCGUAGGUGGUUAUGUAAGUUGGAUGUGAAAUCCCCGGGCUCAACCUGGGAACUGCAUCCAAAACUGCAUAGCUAGAGUACGGUAGAGGGUGGUGGAAUUUCCUGUGUAGCGGUGAAAUGCGUAGAUAUAGGAAGGAACACCAGUGGCGAAGGCGACCACCUGGACUGAUACUGACACUGAGGUGCGAAAGCGUGGGAAGCAAACAGGAUAGAUACCUGGUAGUCAC
rnacentral:rRNA from 1 species